AAUAUUCCUUAAUUAAGGAUAAACUUUCAGAAGACGAUGUUGCCAGUGUAUGGGAAAAUCUCUCCAAUUUUAUUGAAAAACACAUGUCCCAGCAGAAGGGUGUCAGUAUCCCUAUGUUGGGAACAUUUACCUUCACACAGAAAAAGCUGGAUAUAGGAAACAACAAAUUUAUUAUGAUGCAGAGACCAAUUUUUAUGUUGUCUGAAAAAUUUGCCCAGACCCAUGGUCUCCAGUCAGUGAAAUAUCAUGU